UAUUAUUUUCAAGUAAAUUAAAUCAUCUAGCAAUGAAGAUAUAUCCAUCAUUUCUAACAAUUUAUGUAGGAUCAUUAGGUUUUUGAAACCAAGUGUACACUUCAGAAUCAGUACCCUAGUUUUAUAGUUGGGUUUACUUCUAUAUUUGAGACAGACACAUGCAAUUUUGAGUGCUUUUCAUUUGUUAAAGUCUAAAACAAUGUUUGUAUUAAAUCUUUCUACAUUUUAUGCAACAUGUUUGUUUUAGUUAUUCCACUGUUUUUGAUCAUGUUCAUAUGACCGACACCUCCUAGAUCCAUUUCUCAGUCCCUACAUUUGUGUCCAGAGUUCUUUUCAAGACCAACUUGUGAUGCUUAAAUAUUCUUCCACUGGAACAUCAUCAAACCAUCAGUGGUUACAUUUGUAGAGAAAAUUGUCUCUUCCUCUUCCAACAGCUAAGAUUUCACAUUCUGUCCAUGACAGUGACUGGGAUUGAAUAUCUAACUCCCUUAUCUAUGAUAGGACUUAGAAAGACUGAUUUAUUCAAGUUUUUUGCAUGCUUUACAAGCAAACAAGAAUUCAUAUACGCAGCUGUAUUGCUGUAUAUGAAAGAAACUUUCUUGUUAUCAUCCACUACCUUUGUUAUCUACAUUCUUUCUGACCCCGCUUCUACAAUGAUACCUUUGCCUUGGGAGAGAUGCUGUAAUAUUGUUGUUCCAUUUAGGGCUGAAAAUCCUGUAGUGCCUUAAUUCUCUGCACUUUAACUAGUUGUGAAUAACUAUCUUAAUCACGAAUACUCUUGCGAGUGGUAAAAUAUACAUUGAUCUAUUGAUUUAAUGAAUCAUUAAAAGCAGUUUAAUACUAUAUUCACUUAGCAUAGUUGUAUUAGAAUCUCCCUUAGGGUUAUUAUAUUUAUAGCUUAAGGUAUUUAGCUCAAUUGUGGCAUCAGUUAUGACUUUAGUCUUGUAGAAUAGGAUCUAAAACAUACCAGAAAUUCAUCAUUUACUACCGCUGUUGAAGCAGUGGACCUAUUUUGCCAGUACUAUCAAUUUUUUGCAGAUUGAAUAGUUUAUAAUUGUGUAUUAUUGAUGAUAACUAUUCUAAUCUUGUAUCUUGCAUAGCGCCUUUCUGCACGUGAAUACCAAGCUAGAAACGGGGAACUUUCCACAAUCCACCAUCUCAUCUUGCUAUGGGCGUUUAUUGGACUUUUACACUGUGUAAUUUAGAUUUAUAUUAAAUAAAGUAUAGCAAAAUAUUAAAAGGGUUUACUUAUGUAUUUUUGUUUUGUCACUCUAAGUUUUUAGGAGAAUGGAGAAAACACGUUCAUUUUGGUUUUGUUUCAUAGCUAAAACAAAAUUAUUAUACAAAUAAAAAAUUAAUUAAAUUUUGUUUGACAAUUUAUGUCUCACAAAGAUUCACAUUUGGAAACAUAAUUUGUAAAUAAGUAUAUCAUUGUAGUGUUUUGGUAGUUUUAUGUCAGUUUGACAUGAGCUAUUGUGAUCUAAAAAAAAAAAAAAUCAGAACCUCAACUCAGAAAAAGUCUCCAUAAAGUUUGGCUGUAGGAAAUUUUCUUAAUUAGUGACUGAUGCAUGGGAGAGGGUCCAAUCUAUUGCGAGUGAUGCCAUCACUGAGUUGGUGGUCCUAUAUUGUGGAUUUGGUCUAAUGACGCUUGUAUUAUGUUUAUCUGGUCUCUAAAAUUGCAUGGCACAUCUGCAUAUAAGAAACUGUGGAAACCUUGCCUCCAGUUGGUUUUUAUCUCCCUUGACAGGGAGACAGAGGCAGUAGUUUCAGGAUUUCUGGGCAAGGGACUUAGGAAGAGAGUUUGCCUCUACCCUGGUUUAUCUUUCUGUCUCACUGCACAUCUCUGAUUCUGACUCUGGUCUCUGUCUUUUUCAGCCUCAUGGUUCCUCAACUCUUCCUCUUGCCUGUCUCUUACUGGUUCCUACUCUAAAUAUUUCUCAUUCAGAGUAUCUCUUUCAUUUCAGACCUCUCUAAUCUCCUUCAUCUCUAUUUUUAUUUCUCCUCACGGUUAACCUCUCUAUUUGCCACUGUCAUCUAUCUCUCCUGAGUCUGCUGAAACUUUGCUGUUAGCUCACUUCUUUGCAGACUUCUAUCCUUCCUUAGUUUCUCUUCCUCUGCACUUUCUUAUCAACUUAUGUUAACUUUCUUACCGACUUACCCUGUCCUUCUUCUAACUUCUGUAACUUCCUAUAACCUUUGUCAGAUUGUUGGGGCACUUUCUAGUCCCACAGAGAUGAGACCCCCAUAAGAGCCUGGCAGUUAGACUCCCAGGUGCUCCUUACCUGAGUGGGUGGAUGCCUCCCUCACUGGUUAGCACCUUAGGGCGGGGUCACACUAGAGAAAAGAUGUAGGGCAGGGAAGGCAGUGCAGCUCUCACAGCUGGCUGUACUGGGCCACUGAUAUCUUAAAGUGAAAGCACUUUGUCUGUUAACAAGAGGCACUCUGGUGUGGGCUCCUGGGAGUGGGAGGAACGAGCUGGCAGGGGUGGGGGGAGACACUAGGGGGGAAGCGGCAGAGGUGGUGACUCUAGUCAGCCCCUCCCCAGCUGCCAUCACAGCCUCUCUAGGGAGCAAGGCAGGGCCAGUGCGUGGGGAGGGCCCACAGGCCUCACCCUCUUUCCUUUUUUUCUUUUCUUGCCUGUCCUGCAGGAGGUGAAGUGCAUGGCGGUGGUGGGCGUCCUGGGGAAACUUCUGCAUCGGUAUUUCCCACCACCCCUGUCUGUGGUUUUGUGCUGAGACUGCUGAGACUGCCGCCAUGCAGUUCCUUUGGAACUCAGAAGUGAAGAGUAGGUGACCAGAAGGCCUGUGCGCUGUUUCACACCGAGUUCUAGUGCUCUGUCAAGGCCCUAGCUGUGCUCUGUGGCUACCUCCCAGAGCUCCUCCAAGCAGUCAGCGGUGCGGCCUGUCCACGGGAAAACAGCGCCAAGUUGUUUUGCUUAACCAUCAUUGACAAAUUCUGUCUUAACGUCAGUCCAAGUCUACAGUCAGAGACAAAGGGUUGACACAGUCUGUCCCAUAACAAAAAUCUG
rnacentral:lncRNA from 1 species